rnacentral:lncRNA from 1 species
CCCUUUUCAACCCGUAGCCCGUAUGGUUCAAUUUAAACCCGGAACAACCCAGCCCGUUAAAACCCUUUACUAUUCCGGCCCGGACCGGUAACCGGACGGGUCAAAUUUUUUUGACUCGAAACCGGCCCGGUCAGCUCGUUAGUCAAGCAUAGUGAAAAUAAUGGUCAUGGAUCUUUCGAAGCUCGACCUGGCAACCUUGCCGACAAACUCAAAUAAGCUCACAAAAAUCGAACGCCGAACUUAACAAAAGCUUCCCUCGAUUUACUCAAUUUUGAUUAGGAUCUGCCAGGUUUCGUGGAGGAAAAGCAAUUGGGUUUCAAGACUGUCCAUGGCUGAUUUUGUUGGGUAAAACAAAGCUAUUUUGCUGGGUAUAGAGUGCUGAUUUUGGGCAGCAACUAUGGUGGCUUCGGAGCUGCGUUUUUGUGGCUAGUUUUGGGUGGUUUGAGGUCGGCUUUUUGGAGGAAGAAGACAAGCAACAACUGCUGCAUUUCUGUCGCACAAAGCAGUUGUAUUUUUGUUGCUUCUUCGAACUGCUUUAGGAAUUGAAACUCAAGCUAUUUCAUGGUUGUUUUUUUCGAAUCUUGGAUAUGAAGCUUAGGGUGAUUUAAGAUUUUUUCAGAUCUGGAACAAGGUGUAUUGAGGGAGGACGAUUUUGGAGGCUUUCAAGGUAACGAAAAUGAUUUUUUAUAGAGGUGAAGCUGGUUCAUUCCUAUGGAGGAAAUGGAUGAGCUAUGCUUGUUCUUGAAAAAAUGUCGCCCCCCCUCCCCCUUCUUUAUUGGUG